AGUGAACGCUGGCGGUAGGCCUAACACAUGCAAGUCGAACGGCAGCACAGUAAGAGCUUGCUCUUACGGGUGGCGAGUGGCGGACGGGUGAGGAAUACAUCGGAAUCUACUUUUUCGUGGGGGGUAACGUAGGGAAACUUACGCUAAUACCGCAUACGACCUACGGGUGAAAGCAGGGGAUCUUCGGACCUUGCGCGAUUGAAUGAGCCGAUGUCGGAUUAGCUAGUUGGCGGGGUAAAGGCCCACCAAGGCGACGAUCCGUAGCUGGUCUGAGAGGAUGAUCAGCCACACUGGAACUGAGACACGGUCCAGACUCCUACGGGAGGCAGCAGUGGGGAAUAUUGGACAAUGGGCGCGAGCCUGAUCCAGCCAUACCGCGUGGGUGAAGAAGGCCUUCGGGUUGUAAAGCCCUUUUGUUGGGAAAGAAAAGCAGCAGGUUAAUACCCCGCUGUUCUGACGGUACCCAAAGAAUAAGCACCGGCUAACUUCGUG
rnacentral:rRNA from 1 species